AUCUCCAUGGUAACACACAUAGACACACAUAGACCCCAUCAUUGACCACUGUAAUAGACAGGUUUGUUAGGUUUUGAAUAAUACAAUUAUUUGAACUUCUUUGCAGUGAAGAGCUAUACAGUGUUAUCUUUAUUCAAAAAAGUUGUCUUUCAAGCCAUUUUUAUAUAAAAAUAUGAGCAGUUCAACUUCGACAAGCCAUUCAUCUGAUCGCCAGCGUAACUAUAAUCCACAACUUGGCAAAGGAUUUACUGGAGCAGCUCGAAACUCUAAUACCCGGGAACAUGCAAUGACGCCAAAGAAACCCACUGACCAACCCCCUUCUCCACCAAACGAUCCAGCUACUCAGAAGUUCUACUCUCCCACUCAAACUCCUCCAAAUUAGUCUCGUCAAGACCAAGAAAUCGUCAAGACCAAGAAAGAGCAAAAUAUUUUGUACUGGAGAGGGGAUACUUGUUCUUGUGUCAUGUACUGCAUGUGCAGUUUUUAUAUAUAGUGUGUAUAGUGUGUGAUGAUGAGAAUUUAGGAACACAAUGCGUUCACUUCGUUA